rnacentral:rRNA from 1 species
CCUACGGGAGGCAGCAGUGGGGGAUAUUGCACAAUGGGGGAAACCCUGAUGCAGCGACGCCGCGUGUGGGAAGACGGUCCUCUGGAUUGUAAACCACUGUCCCCAGGGACGAAGAUGACGGUACCUGGGGAGGAAGCUCCGGCUAACUACGUGCCAGCAGCCGCGGUACUACGGGGGGUGCAAGCGUUGUCCGGAAUCAUUGGGCGUAACGAGUUCGUAGGCGGCACGUAAAGUCUGGUGUUAAAGGCAGAGGCUCAACUUCUGUACGGCACUGGAUACUUGCGAGCUAGAAUGCGGUAGAGGUAAAGGGAAUUCCUGGUGUAGCGGUGAAAUGCUUAGAUAUCAGGAGGAACAUCGGUGGCGUAAGCGCUUUACUGGGCCGUAAUUGACGCUGAGGAACGAAAGCCAGGGUAGCAAAUGGGAUUAGAUACCCGGGUAGUC